rnacentral:rRNA from 1 species
GACGAACGCUGGCGGCGUGCUUAACACAUGCAAGUCGAACGGAAAGGCCCUGAUUUUGUGGGGUGCUCGAGUGGCGAACGGGUGAGUAACACGUGUGUAACCUGCCCUUGUCUUUGGGAUAACUUCAGGAAACUGGGGCUACUACCGGAUAGGAGCUCCUGUUGCAUGGUGGGGGUUGGAAAGUUUCGGCGGUUGCGGAUGGACUCGCGGCUUAUCAGCUUGUUGGUGGGGUAGUGGCUUACCAACGCUUUGACGGGUAGCCGACCUGUGAGGGUGGCCGGCCACAUGGGGACUGAGAGACGGACCAGACGCCUACGGGGGACAGCAGUGGGGAAUAUUGCACAAUGAUCGCAAGCCUGAUGCAGAAACGCCGCGUGCGGGAUGACGGCCUUCUGGUUGUAAACCGCUGUCGGCUGUGACGAAGCGUGAGUGACGGUAAUGGGUAAAGAAGCACCGGCUAACUACGUG